rnacentral:rRNA from 1 species
GAACGCGAAGAACCUUACCAGGUCUUGACAUCCCUCUGACCGCUCUAGAGAUAGAGCUUUCCUUCGGGACAGAGGUGACAGGUGGUGCAUGGUUGUCGUCAGCUCGUGUCGUGAGAUGUUGGGUUAAGUCCCGCAACGAGCGCAACCCCUAUUGUUAGUUGCCAUCAUUGAGUUGGGCACUCUAGCGAGACUGCCGGUAAUAAACCGGAGGAAGGUGGGGAUGACGUCAAAUCAUCAUGCCCCUUAUGACCUGGGCUACACACGUGCUACAAUGGCUGGUACAACGAGUCGCAAGCCGGUGACGGCAAGCUAAUCUCUUAAAGCCAGUCUCAGUUCGGAUUGUAGGCUGCAACUCGCCUACAUGAAGUCGGAAUCGCUAGUAAUCGCGGAUCAGCACGCCGCGGUGAAUACGUUCCCGGGUCUUGUACACACC